UUUCCAAAAGCCAGUAUUACCUUUUGGAAACAUUUGUAUUUUGUAGCA
rnacentral:sRNA from 12 species